rnacentral:rRNA from 1 species
UACGAAGGGGGCUAGCGUUGCUCGGAAUCACUGGGCGUAAAGCGCACGUAGGCGGAUUUUUAAGUCAGGGGUGAAAUCCUGGAGCUCAACUCCAGAACUGCCUUUGAUACUGGGAAUCUCGAGUCCGGGAGAGGUGAGUGGAACUCCGAGUGUAGAGGUGAAAUUCGUAGAUAUUCGGAAGAACACCAGUGGCGAAGGCGGCUCACUGGACUGGUAUUGACGCUGAGGUGCGAAAGCGUGGGGAGCAAACAGG